CAGGCUUGUAUGGUGAGGGGGGUUCCGGGAGACCCUCAGCCGUUACAUCUGCCGAGUCUUCCCUCUCUUGGCCUGUUACCACAGCAGCACUCCAGUACCAGGCUUGUGAGAAAAGCUUGCACAUGGUGGAGGUGAAGGCUGACAGUGUUUAAGAAACACUGGACCAUCAGGGAAUGUUAUGUACCCCUCCUAGGCCAAACUAGGAAGUAGGGAGGCGGAAUAACCAUUACUAAAACAAAAACAUAUUAAUAAAAAUGAAAACUGCUAAUUUUUCACACACACACACACACACA